AGGCAGGAUGACAACUGGAUAUUAGCUUACUCUAUUAUAAAAGCAACGGGGCGCAUCUUAAACCAUCACUACAGCUCUAGGUGGCAUCUUGCUUCCUAUCUCUGUCAAGAAAAAGGAAACCAUCACUACAGCUAUAGCACCAUUACAUCACCUCCAGACAUUUCGAUUCUUCUCCGUAAGAUAGAGGGCCCACAAUCCAUCUAAGCAUCAGGAUCAGUCCAUAGAGUGCUUGCGUCAAUAUCAGGCUUGGCACAGAAGAAUAAGUGCUUUAGAUACCGGAUAGAAUGUGCCUUCCCUACCAGACGCUUAUUGGAUCUAUGUAGAUUACGCUCCAAUGUUCAUCCUCCAGGUCAACCCCAUCUUAAUCUUAUCUCACACAAAGAUGGCAACAGGUUUGAUAUGAGUCCGGUAGAUCAUUACCCAUACCUACCCCAUACUUGCCUCAUAGCCAGAUGGGACAGGUAAAAUUAGAUAGGACAAGUGAGAUGGGACAUCCAAUUCUUAUCUUCUCACCCUGCAUGCCAUGCAUCCCAUGGAAACCAACCUCACACGAGAAUGCCCGGUGAGGAAGUCCCAGGCGAUGUCCCACUGUUGUUCACAUCGACAAGCAUCGACAAGUUCGGUAACCAAAACGGAUGCCUUCUGAAGUAAACAUAUAAUACGAAGAAGCAGAAGGACAUGAUUAUUUCGCCGUGACAAAUAAUGACAAGAAUGAUUAACUUUGUCCUUAUCUAUAUGGAGAAAAAAUUUGCAAUGUGAGAGGCGGAAUGUUAGACGGCGGGAACCGUGAUUUUUUAGGAAACUAAUGUCAAUUUUAAAAAAAUUAUCAAAAUAAUAUAUUUUCAAAAUUAUUUAUUAAAAAAUUAUCUAAAAUAAAAUCAUCUUAUUAUAAAAUAAUUUUUUAUUCUGAUUCAUCAAUCUUAUCACUAGUUGGAGAACAAAUGGCUGAUAAUAUGAGUCAGCCUACCAUAGGAUGCAUAUAUUGAUCGCCGUAUAAUAAGGUGAUUCUAUAAGUUGUUCUAUGAUAGGCAUUAUAGGGAGACUCUACAAGUCGCCCUAUUAUAGAACGACUUUAAAAUAUCCUUCACAAAUCUUUCUGUUCUAACUUGUGGCACAGUGGUGACUUGGCACGAAUCGACCCAUGAGUCGACCUCUACUGUACUACAAACUAAAGUAGAAAGAGUCGGCCUCUACUGUGCCGCAAACCAAAACAAAAAGCAUAUUUCAUAGGCACAGCAAAAGUCAACCCA
rnacentral:lncRNA from 1 species